rnacentral:rRNA from 1 species
UACGUAGGAUGCAAGCGUUGUCCGGAAUUAUUGGGCGUAAAGAGCUCGUAGGCGGUUUGUCGCGUCUGCUGUGAAAACCCGAGGCUCAACCUCGGGCCUGCAGUGGGUACGGGCAGACUAGAGUGCGGUAGGGGAGAUUGGAAUUCCUGGUGUAGCGGUGGAAUGCGCAGAUAUCAGGAGGAACACCAAUGGCGAAGGCAGAUCUCUGGGCCGUAACUGACGCUGAGGAGCGAAAGCAUGGGGAGCGAACAGG